rnacentral:rRNA from 1 species
UUCCAGACUCCUACGGGAGGCAGCAGUGGGGAAUAUUGGACAAUGGGGGGAACCCUGGUCCAGCGACGCCGCGUGAGUGAAGAAGUAUCUCGGUAUGUAAAGCUCGAUCAGCAGGGAAGAAAGAAAUGACGGUACCUGACUAAGAAGCCCCGGCUAACUACGUGCCAGCAGCCGCGGUAAUACGUAGGGGGCAAGCGUUAUCCGGAUUUACUGGGUGUAAAGGGAGCGUAGACGGCUGAGCAAGUCUGAAGUGAAAGGCGGGGGCCCAACCCCCGGACUGCUUUGGAAACUGUAUAGCUAGAGUGCAGGAGAGGUAAGUGGAAUUCCUAGUGUAGCGGUGAAAUGCGUAGAUAUUAGGAGGAACACCAGUGGCGAAGGCGGCUUACUGGACUGUAACUGACGUUGAGGCUCGAAAGCGUGGGGAGCAAACAGGAUUAGAUACCCCAGUA